CUGGUUUAUUAACUUCGAGGUUAAUUGACAACGAGCGGAGACGCGUCCUCCAUGUAGUUACUUUUCGUUUAGAAAAAAAGGGCGUGUUAAGCCAAUAUUACCGCCAAAGACUUCAGACAAGUCAUGGAUAAGUCAAGAUACAAAUGAGCCCGAAUGGCCACACCUAUUCACACCAUUCCUAUUCAUAACACAUUAUGUCCAGUAAAGUGAUUGGGCACGUGCGUGCCCGUUCAUGUGUGGUAAUAUUUACCCUUUAGGUGGCGGUAUUGCAUUCUAUAUCUGUAUAUCUCUAUACAGCUCUGAAAACAGUUUGCAAAACACACAACCAACUGAGGGAGCCAAAAUGGUCAACAUGGGUUGUAAACCCAUUUUUUUUUUUUUUAUCGCCACCAAUUUAAUUUAAUGUCACCCUAUAGACAAGUUAAAAGCAUUAUAUCUGUCUUUUCUGUUUCAUCAUCCCCUUAGAACAUUGGGAUUUUUAAAAAAAUUUUUUUAAAGAAACUAACUUCAGAAGCUUGAAUUGUCAGGUGUGUCAAGUCAGAGAAUGUCUGACGCAGACGGGCUCUGGUCAAGUCAAGACUAAAAUGGGAAAACGACACAGAUAAGAUACUGAGGGAGAACAUUAGGACAUGGACCCCUGAUGACCUUUGACCCCAUGACCUUGAGUACCUAAUAGCUGGUGUUCAUUCUCACUACAGGACAGUUAAUAAAACCACUUAAUGGAUUUGACAUGAGGAUUUAUGCCAGGGAUAACAUCCGCCGAGGUAUGCAGAAAUAAUGGAGGAGACGGAUGCAAAGACCUCCCCGAAGCAGGAAGAGUUUUCUCCACCAAGUUAAUUAAUUCUGUAUAUCGGGACACCUUGCAGGAUGUUGCCAGUCAUUUAUGUAGACAAUAGGCAUGCAUUUAUAGCACAAAAAGGGAAAUGCAGUUCAGUUUAAAAAGAGGCCGACCUGUUAAAUGUAUCCCUCUACAUUCAUUGGUUACGGAAAUGAUGGUGGGUAGUAUGCUAUGUCAGUGGUUCUCAACUGGUCUGUCUUUGGGACCCUCCAGAUCAGUGGCACAGCCAUGGGUGCCACUAUGGCCCCUGACUAUGCCCAUUUAUAUCUUGGUUUCUUGGAAGAACAGUAUGUGUUCAAUAGCAAUCCUUUUUUUUAGAGAAGAUCAUGUUCUUCAAAAGAUACAUUGAUGAUUGUUUUGUGGCUCAUUACCUGAAUUUGAAUUGUUUGUCUUGUAUAUUAACUGCCUAAGACCAUUCAUCAAGUUUACUUAUUCAGCUAGUACCACCUGUGUGAACUUUGUAGACACUUGUAUUUCACUUACUGAUGGAAACAUUGUCUCCUCUUUGUACAGGAAAGACACAGAGAAAAAUAGUUUACUUCAUGCCACAAGUGUCCAUCCUACAUCUCUGAAACAAGGUCUGCCCUUCAGUCAGUUCACUAGACUGCACCAGAUUUGCUCCGACAAAAAUGACUUUGAGGCCCAAGCCAGAAUCCUAUACAGAAAUUUUAGCUCUAGAGGAUAUCCCAACAGCUGGCUUGAUAGAGCACUAGACAAAAAACCCUAAUCUCAGAGAGGCUGGUCCAUGCGGACACUGCCACGCCGCCUCCUUCUAGCACUCUCUCUAAUGCCAACGUCUGCAGGGCACUCCAUUGCUGACCUGAGAUUUCUGGGUGUGGAAAGGAUUUCUCGGAUCUCGCCUAAAAGGAGAGGUGGGGACUUGGAUAAAACACUGCUUCAGAGAGAAUGUUUCUGGAUUUUUGAACUUGGUAGCCUUUGUCCAAAAGGGAUGAACGAGGACUUAAAUCUAUCAUGCUUUUUGUAAAACUUUUAUCUCACUAACUCUUUUAAAUUAAUGUCUACGAGUGUUGUAACAAAAACAAAUGCAUCUAUACUUGUUGUCUGGGUCUGGCCUAAAGCCCCUCCCACCACACCUGUCUCUUAAUUGCCCUUAACCCAACUGGGUACUUGUUAAUUGCAUGUCUGCAGUUGAUUCACUGUGAGCAUUGAGAAUAGCCAGACGGCUGAAACGUCUGCUCUUGCUCCCAAAAUUAAAUGGAAAAACUCCUUUCUGAAGACUUUAAGUCAUUUCUUUCAGUGUGCGAACUACUCCUCUCUCUCUCUUCAACUCUUGGUUCAAACGCACCUGGCUAAACUUCUAGAUCAUCUGAGCGCAACAAUACUCCCCUGCAUCCUGGCUUUGGGA